rnacentral:rRNA from 1 species
ACGUAGGAGACAAACGUUAUCCGGAGUUACUGGGCGUAAAGGGCGUGUAGGUGGUUUCGUAAGUCUGGCGUGAAAUUUUUCGGCUUAACCGGGAAAGGUCGUCGGAUACUGCGGAACUAGAGGACGGUAGAGGCGUGUGGAAUUCCGGGUGUAGUGGUGAAAUGCGUAGAGAUCCGGAGGAACACCAGUGGCGAAGGCGACACGCUGGGCCGUACCUGACACUGAGGCGCGAUAGCAUGGGGAGCAAACAGGAUUAGAAACCCUGGUAGUCCAUGCCGUAAACGAUGCUAGCUGGGUGUUCAGGGAGGGAAACCUCUCGGGGUACCGAAGUCAACACGGUAAGCUAGCCGCCUGGGGAGUACGGUCGCAAGAUUA